rnacentral:lncRNA from 1 species
GCAUCUGGAAAAAUAGCCUCAUGAUGGAUGAUGAUAGUUUUGAUUAUCUCAUUCACGUGUGCCUGACAGGACACCUGAUCUUGUAUGUCUGGAACAGGCAUCAGGGUUGGCCCAAAACAAAUGGCCAGAUUGUAUGGAUCCAUCAUGUUUUCAUCACUGUACUGUGAAAGGUGAUUGAGGAAGGCAAAGAGGUAUCUCAUCACUAUAAGGACCGACCUGGGCAAAGUGAGGAGGAGUUUGCGGAUGUGAAGAGCCCUCUCAUAGAGAUUGUCUAUUCUGAUACAAGAAAUAAGAUCAUUAAAUCUUUCCUUAGGAAAGACAGGAUUUUCCAGCCCUCGGAAAUAGAGCUUCAGUACUCCAGCAACUGAGUUAAUGUCAUGGUUACUUUGGUCAUCUGCCAAAGGAUUUUCACCUCUCUCAAAUGAAUUUUUAAUAUCAUUCACCUCCACCUGGGAACCAGAC